UCCGGCUUGUCGCCGGCGGUCCCUUUAGAGUGCCCAACUGAAUGAUGGCAACUAAAGGCGAGGGUUGCGCUCGUUUUGGCACUUAAGCCAACACCUCACGGCACGAGCUGACGACAGCCAUGCAGCACCUGUGUUCCCGCCAGCCGAACUGAAGGAUCCCAUCUCUGGAACCCAUACGGGACAUGUCAAAGGUUGGUAAGGUUCUUCGCGUUGCUUCGAAUUGAACCACAUGCUCCACCGCUUGUGCGGGCCCCCGUCAAUUCCUUUGAGUUUCAGCCUUGCGGCCGUACUCCCCAGGCGGGGCACUUAAUGCGUUAGCGUCGGCACUCAGAGGGUCGCUCCCCCAAGCACCUAGUGCCCAUCGUUUACGGCGUGGACUAC
rnacentral:misc_RNA from 1 species